GAUCACAUGAUCCUGGGACUACUAAUAAGGUCGUAAGUGUGAAAAACCGUCAUAAAUCACUUUUUUCAGGGCUGUAACUUUCAACGGUCACUAAAUGAUCUGUUGUAAAUUGAAGACUACCUGCAAUAUGUGUACUUGAUCCUGCUUCCAAUAGUUUUCCUCUACCUUCCAUUGAAAUUUCUCUAAUCACUUCACAACUCUGAAGUCUAUGCUUCAGAAAGACAGUCAUGACGUUAACUACGUUUGUUCCUGUUUGGGGCAUCAUAUCAAAGUUAGAUAUAUUUAUAAACUCAAAGAGGAUACAAGGACAGCAUUUAAAAUAUGAAAAUAAAUUGGAAUCCUCCCAUUGGAGGAAGAAAAAAAAACUGUGUGAAACAAUAGAUGUUUCGGAAGUAAACCUGCAAACAUGAAAAAAAAUAAAAAUUUGUUCUGUUUCCGUGAAGCAUGUGGUUUAAUAUUUCACUAUAACUGAAGUACAAGUUGUGAAGCUGGGUACUUUGAACCUGGGCUUUAUUUUUUGUUUUUGUUUCUAGUUUAUAAUAUUUGGAAAUUGAAAAAAGAAUAUAUUUGCUACUAGCAAGCUCAUUCCUGAAGAAAGAAGAAACGUCGCCAUUUAUUAGGGCAGCGAAUGCUUCAAAAUUUAUUUAGAAGAGAUUUAAGAACAGAGUCUCUCUCCUGGUCAUUAAAAAUCUCUAACUUUUUUCUCUUCGAGCCUGAAGUCACAUUACCAGUAAUGGUUGUCCUCAACGUAAGACUGAAAUUGAGCCCUGAAUUACAGUGGAAGAGGCCAAAGGCCACCAAAGGAGUCAGCCACCGGGCCGCCCAGACACUGCUAAACCCAGAACGUCUGGAAAAGUUGUUCGGCGCUCUUCUGCUGCAGGAAGAGCGACGUAGAGGACCUUCCUGUGCCUCCUGACAGAACUGACGAGGCACAUGAACAGGUGGACCAGAAGGGAGAAUGGCAGACACAGAUUCGUGUGUCCGAUGGACGCAGGCCUUCCUCCCAAGGGGGUUUGAUGGGUGUUCGUGCCACCGCCCGGAGCCCCAGGAAGGAAGAGGUGAUGCCAGUUCUCAUUUCAGUGAGAAAUGAGAAGAUAGCGAAGUGGAGGCCGCGGCUCUCAAUCAUCUAGGAGACCUGCACUGAGUCGGAUCCUUCGGAAGAAUACCGACCAAGAGAGGUGCAGGAGGAAAGCAGUGCCUGCCUAUCAAGAGAGGAAAAGGAAAAGCACUGGAGGCCGCGACUCCCCCCCAGAUCAGAGACCUGCAGAGAAUCGGACGAAGAAGACCAGCCGGCGGAGGAGCAGCUCUCUCCUACUGGGGAGAAGACGCAUACUUCGGAGGAUUCGAUGGAAGUCCUGGUGGGCUCCCGGAACAACAGCCUGGAGGAUUUUGACUCCAUUUCUGCCCUCUUGGAUGAGGAGUCUGAGGGAAGCUGGGAGCAGGCUGCAGAGGCUUCGGAGGCCAGCCUUUCGUCCAGUCCGUGGGAUUCUCCCGAAGAAGGGGAAGCCUCGCUGGACAAUGUCAGCAGCCUGGAGGAGGACUCCCUGGACCUCAGUCUCUAAUUAAAAGAGACGCCUCUCCAGUAGGUAGAUCGGAGGAGGAUGAACCAGUCCCAGGCACAUCAGGAGGUGAGUUGGCCAAUGCCUCCGAGCAGCCAGCGGAGAGUGAUUUGGCUGAAGCACAGCUGCAGCAGGAGAGCCCUGAGACGCAGAUGGUUAGCUUUGAGCAGGAACUGCUUUCUGCACUAUCCGAGAACAACUAGGGAAGAGAAAAGGCAGGAGCAGCAAAGGGUGGUUCUUUCACUCACUAGGAGGCAGUCUUGCCUUUCUUGAUGGGCUGCACCAGAAGCUGGCAAUUGAGCACAGCAGACAAAUGGAGGCCAUGCUGGGAACAAUGCAUUCAUGACUAGGGGGUUGGAGUAGAAGACCUCCAAGGUCCCUUCCAACUCUUGGUAUUCUGCUCUGAUAUUCUAUCUGCAUAUAGACGGACGGCGGAAUCAGCCCCAGCGGCGAAGCCCUGCGAGGAGCCACUUUCCAACGAGGAAGUUCCUGCGUCUUGUUAAUGUUAUUGUUGUAAUUCUUUUUGUUGUACUUGUUGUUGUUGUGCAUCUUCUUGUUUUUGUUCUUGUUGUUUGAGAAUAAAACUAAAAAAUUCUUUAUAUCUGCUAAUUUAGUUUAAACCUAGUUUUAUUACACUUUUGUUAGGAAUAACAAACUUUUCGUUAAAUGCAGAAUUUCAACAAACUUCUUUGUCUGUUUUCUCGUAUUUUUUCCACCGUUCUAUGGGAUACAGUGAUUAGUAUUCACUUACAAUAUUAAUGGAAACCUGACACUUCCGGAGGUUCCUCAGCUACGCGCAAGUAGUCUCAACUUACCACAAUUGAUCCCCAAAUUUAUCUUUUAAAUACAACAUUUGUUUAGUGACUUUUGCCCCAUUUUACGACCUUUCUUCCCACAGUUGUUAAGCAGAUCACUGCAGUUGUUAAGAUAGUAACACAGUUGUUAAGAGAAUAUGGCUUCCCCAUUGUUUUUGCUUGCCAGAAGGACUCAAAAGUUGAUCACAUGACCCCGGGACACUGCUACAGUCAUAAACAUGAGUCAGUUGCCAAGCAUCUGAAUAUCGAUCAUGUGACUAAGGGGCUACUGCAACGGACGUGAAAAAAGAUCAUAAGUCUCUUUUUUCAGUGCCGUUGUAACUUUGAACAGUCACUAAGUGAACUGUCGUAAGUGGAGGAUUACCUGUACUUUCUGAACAUCAACCAGUGUAUUGUCUAGUAAGAAGGAGAAUUUUGUUCAGCAACAUCAGGAAGAUCUGUCCUUGGAACAUCAUGAUUGGAGGCACAGAAAGCACUGUAGAUCUGCUAUGGGGGCAGAAAGUUUGCAUUCUUCCAGAAGAAGGAAUUUUACAGAAGAAUACCCAAGUUACACUGGCUAAGAGGCAAUAAUUUCUUGCAACUCAUGCUAGAUUGUUGCACACACUAGCAA